UACGAAGUGACCUAGAUUUCUGUUAGAAUUAUGCCAUGAAACACAGAAAUGCCCUGCCAUGGAAGGCAGGGCAAGGCGUUAUGCGCCACGGACGGCGCAUAAAAGCCGGUUUCGUCAAGCAUAGAAAACCUUAAAGCAUAAUUCUUACAGAAUCUUGGCCACGUAGUAC
ncrna:unclassified sequences TwoGGAY RNA